GCCACGUCGAGUGAUGAAAAGCACCCGCCUGAAAACAUCAUUGACGGAUUUAGUACACACAGAGGGGCAGCUUCAAAAUGAAGAAAUUAUGGCACGAGAUGGCUACGCCACUUUCUUGAGAUUCAUUAUUGUCUCAGCGUUUGAUCAUUUUGCAUCUGUGCACAGCAUUUCUGCAGAGGGACUGACAGUCUCAAGUCUUCCUUAGUGAUUACAACAGCAUGCUCUGAACUACUUUUAGAAUAUAUUUAUUGAAACACAAAGCUAUCUUUGAUAUGUUUACUAUUAAAUAGAUUUGUAUCACUCUGU
rnacentral:lncRNA from 1 species